GACGAACGCUGGCGGCGUGCUUAAUACAUGCAAGUCAACGACUUUUAGAGUAGCAAUAUUCUAAAAGGAAGUGGCGCACGGGUGAGUAACACGUAGGUAAUCUGCCUUCAGGACUGACACAACUCGUCGAAAGACGGGCUAAUAUCAGAUAAUGCAGCGGCUCCGCAUGGAGACAGUUGUUAAAGUACAAGCGCCUGAAGAUGAGCCUGCGGUCCAUUAGCCAGUUGGUAGAGUAAAAGCCUACCAAGGCAACGAUGGAUAGCUGGUCUGAGAGGAUGAUCAGCCACACUGGAACUGAGACACGGUCCAGACUCCUACGGGAGGCAGCAGUAAGGAAUAUUGCUCAAUGGCCGAAAGGCUGAAGCAGCAACGCCGCGUGAAGGAUGAAUGGCCUUGGCCUGUAAACUUCUGUAAAAAGGGAAAACAGUACAGGCAUAUCCUGAUUUGAUUGUACCUUUGAAG
rnacentral:rRNA from 1 species